rnacentral:lncRNA from 10 species
AACACUCCCUGAUGCCAGCCCGGGCAUCAAGUUGAAGCCCUUUCAAGCGAUCAUCGGCUCCCUGGGAAAUGCCUUUUCUCUGUUACCUGGCACAGCCGAACAUCAAGAAGAAACGUGGAAAACAUCACACUGACCCCCCAGAAAAAUGAAAGAAAAGUACGGAAGAGACCAAUUCCCACCCUUGCUAUAGACGGAAUAAGUAUGUGCGUUUGUGAACCUUAAGUGUUCAUCUAAAUAUGUUGCUUCAACGGAGAUCCGCUUGUGGAUACAGACACACGAAAAUACACGAGACCACGCUCUAUUUUAAGGAAUUGCUGAAGAGUGUUGAACACUCAAACCCACCGCACAGCACCCUCGCAGCUAAGAGCACAAUUGAAUGAAACCAGCGGAUUCAUUUAUUUUAACCUCCACUGGAGCUGUCCCAAAAAAGCAGGGUGGGCAAUGCCAUUUCUGCAGCCGUCCAGGGCUCUGGCAAAUGUUAAGGCUGUCACUGUAGACAGAAUCCCCAUGGUCUGUCUGUGUGCCUCGAUAGAGUCCGAAGAAAAACAUUCCUCGCAUUCCUGACGGUUGGUCCUAUCUCCGGGCCUUGGACUCGGCCCUGCAGGCUCGUGUCACCCCGUCAAACGGCCUAGGCCACGGCUAAUCUAAACCGCUGCCCUCCCCAGCCAGCCCUGCGGCAGGGUGAAAACUGGGACCAAUUUGCUGCCUAAACCCUGAGGAUACAGCAAGUUUGAUUCUCGACCUUUAAGGACACCAGCUGCAAUUUGUUCCGCCGAAAAGAGCUUAGCGGUUCUGGCACAUUCUGACAAGAUACAUUUUAUAGGGUUUGUGCUCAAAUUUGAUAUUGGAAGUUAGGAUUCCAAUUUUAUGCCUCCAGUGAUAACAAUAGCAGCUGGGACCUUUAAGAAAUGUGUGUGUAUGCCUUCUAUUGAAGAGUUACAUAACAAAAGCUAUUUAUGUCAAACACCUUAUAAGGGAAAGAUUUAGCCUAAAUGUCAACAUAACAUAUAAUACUUUUUCAUAUUUAGAUAGGACGAAAACAUCUGCUAUCAGUGCUGCAUAUAAUUUUUGGUUUGGAGUAUUAGAUCUGUGGGGGCUUUCAACAUUUCAAGUAAGCAUCUCCUUGCCUUAAUUUACGAAUUCAUCGAGGGGCCUUUUUUUCAAUAUUGUUUCUGUAUAAAAAACAAAUACCGAUACAUCAUGAUUUGGUUUUCCAAGUCCUUCUAAUGAACGCACACAAAAGAAGGGCACAAUUUCAUGUUGUUUGAUUUGACAUUUGUAAUUCCCAAGCAUGCCAUGAAGCCAUUCAGUGGUGCCUUAUAAACCGAGGCUGCUUUUGUCUCCUGAAAAUGGCUGUGGUUUUGGAGAGGACCUGGCUGACCAGAACCUUGGUAAUUCUGAUGAAGGAAGAGAUCAGCCGCUCAAGGAAGAAAACCUUUCCCAGCAAAGGAACAGCAGCGCCCAGUUCAAGACAACAUCUGCAGCUCGAUUUUGGAGGGGCUUAAAUUCCCUCCAGCUUCCCUAGUGACACCACAGCAAGCUUUCUGAGAAGGAAUCCCACCACCAAAUAGACAAUGACUCUUGUUUACACCAGACGCUUAGGAGUGACCACACGUGGGCCUGUGAGGCAGGCUUGGCUGGAAAAUCCCAGCUUCCCUCUUAGCUUUUCUGCUCAGACGGCAGAACCUAACUGAGAUGGGAAGAGAACCCCAAUUAGCAAAGCCAGGGAUUCGCCUGCACCCAUGCAUGUGCCGGUUCCGUCCGUCCCCUUGCUUCAGGUUUCUUUGACGAAUUGGACGGUGUGACCACGGGUUAAUGAGAAAGCCCAGUGGACGGCGGCACGCACGGUCAUCUGGAUGUUCUCUGCUCCUGCCCCAGCCCCUGAGCCUCCCACUGUGGACCACAGCCCCCGUUGGGGAACACAGAGGUCACGGGGGCCAAAUGCAAAUACCACUUCUCCUUGGGACCUGUUGGAACCAGGCGACACCAACUUAAACUUGGCAAAACGCAAGUUCAAUUUCUUUUGUUCUGAAGUCACAACUUGGAUGUAACAGCUCCUAAGCCAAUAUGAUCUGAAAAAGAACUCACUACUGAGCUGCCCCCUUCCCACGGUCCGAAAAUUGCUUCAGCCUAAACGGAAGGCAAUUUCCUUUUCUUUUAUAACAAGAGAACCGCUAAGCUUCUCUUAGUAUUUCCACCCAGUGUCACCACUAAAUACCAGCACUUACAAAAAGAUCCCUCGUUGUGUCAACUGCCAGGCUGUCUAAUACGCUGAAUUUUAAAUAUGUUGGCUACAUGAUUAUUGUCAGAGAGAAUCAUGCUCCAGAUAAGGACCAGGAAGUGCAUCUAGAGACAGCAUGAAUAUUUAGAAUAAAAAUGCGCUGCUCCAGAGGUUUCUGCAGAGACUUAGAUUUGAAACAAUGGCUUUCUGUGUGCUGUGUCCCAUCCACUCAGUGACAUUGAUGCUGACUGUCAUUAUCUACAUUUCACAUCAGAGGAGAUGGAAGGAAAGGAAGAUUCAGUUUCACAAGGGGAGAACAUAACAGAUGAGGCUCGAAGGUAAAUAAUAAUAAUUGUAUGAAUAACCACCUUUACGGAGUUAUUACCAGAUGCCAGGAGUUUUCUACUCCUGUUAUACCAUCAUACGUGGAAAGACUCAUUUGACCCCCACAACAACCCAGGAGGAGGGACUAUUAUUAGCUUCACUUUGUAGAUGAGGAAACUGAGGCAGACAGAGGCCAGCCCAUCGCUGAAGACCAGGCUGCUGGAGAGUGACAAAGUGUCAGAGUCAGGAGCUCAAGCCAGGCUGUCCACUGGCAGAGCUGGAAAAACAGGAGAUAAACAUCAGCAGCGAGAGCCCAGGUCACACUGCCCGGGAUCACACCCCAGACUGCCAACUGGGUGAAUGAACCAUUCUGAGCCUUAGUUUGCUCUUCUAUAAACCGGGGAGAGCAAUGGUCCCUACCUCAUGGGUUUUUUAUUGGGAUUGCAUAAAAUAGGCCCUGAAAAGUGCUGGACGUGCCCGGCAAACAUGAGUGCUGUGCAUGCGGUCUGGGCUGGCUGCCCACCUGCCCAAAGCUCAUUCCUCUCACUGACCAGGUCAUGACUGCAACGUUUGCUCCAGGAAUCCAUCUGAGAACUCUGUCCAUGUUCUCAAAUGCCUGGAUGGCGAGGUGGCUGAGGGCAGUAUCGUGCGGUCCCCAGCAGCCAGGACUCAGCCCAGCUGACCUGUCCCCAGCCAGCAGAAGAGGAUCCGCAGAUGCCCGCAGGAAGGGGACGCAUUGCCAGGUCCACCAGCUCUCCCACAGACAGCUCCAGGCCUCACUGCUGAGUCUGUGUCCUAUAUACAAUGUCAUCUGAGGGUGGCACCGAACACCUGGCUGGCUUGCUGGCCACCCACCACCCUUUCAGCCACCCUGGCUGCCCUCUGGUUUCUAUCGCGUCUGUUAAAAGGCAGACCCCUCUGGAUGCUUUCCUCCACUCUUUCAAAGUGCCCCCACCCUCACCCUUCAAACAUCAAGUUGAUGGUUGUACCAUGAGCCACAGGAACAAUAAACAGCCCGGAAGCCACUCCACUCAAGGUCUCGAGGCCCUCCCGACAGCCGGCCGCCUGCCCUGCCACGGAGGCUGGGCAGCACAGCUGGGGGCUUGAGAGCUGGUUCAAAUCCUGUGUCUGCCCCCUGCGAGCUAUGUUUGCUCAGGCAAGUAGCUUGCCCUCUCUGGAUCUAGUUUCCCUGUCCUCAAAAGCAUGGGCAGACAUGGGCAAAGUGCUGGCUUGCAAUUCUCAAUAAAUUACAGAUUAUCAGAUCGCUAUUUAACUCAGGCAACAAAAGGAAAAUACUUGAUUGUGUGGAGAGCAAUAACUCUUAAAAAUGGGGUGGCCGCCCCAUAAUAAGAAAAGCUAGAAAAAAAUAAACCACAGACGCAGUGAUUUGGCAGGGUGAUAUACGGAGGAAAUUCUGCCAUCAGGAAACAGUAUUGUCCAUAGGUUUUCUUCCUACUUUCUUCCUUUAAUUACUAAAUAAAAUCUUCAAUCACU